UACGUAGGGGGCAAGCGUUGUCCGGAUUUAUUGGGCGUAAAGAGCGUGUAGGCGGCCAGACAGGUCAGCUGUGAAAACUCGAGGCUCAACCUCGAGACGUCGGUUGAAACCGUCUGGCUAGAGUCCGGAAGAGGAGAGUGGAAUUCCCGGUGUAGCGGUGAAAUGCGCAGAUAUCGGGAAGAACACCCGUGGCGAAGGCGGCUCUCUGGGACGGUACUGACGCUGAGACGCGGAAAGCGUGGGGAGCGAACAGG
rnacentral:rRNA from 1 species